AGUGUUUCGCCGGCGUUGGUUUGAUUCGGUUCAUGUUCUUAUGAUGCUGUUUCUGCGAAUGCAUUAAUGCGGGUCUCUAUCGAAAUUUUAUUUUUGUGCAUCGAGAUAUGGUUUGAUGUGAUUGUCCUCUCGGCAUUUUUGACUGUUUGAUGCAGUCUAGAGAGAUAACUCAUCUCUUCCCCAGAGAAAUAUUGUUUUGUUAGAUUGGAAGUAGAACAAGCCAUAACGCUAUGCAAUCAGGAAGGAGUAGUGGAUUGAAUCAGGUAAGACUGACAUCUAGAUGACGGAUGUUGCCCAAGAAUUCUGCUUUUGUUUUUGGGACUAAUGGGUGCUUUAAAGGACUAACAUUUGGUAAGAUCGCUGGAGGGAUCUAUUUAGAGUAUGAAUUUCUUGCUCGAAUGUUGGCUUUGUCGCAUAAGGUGGAUUCCGAUACUCUGCAUUUGUUUAGUUUUCAUGGUGUCAAGAAUAUGGCCUUACAGGUUUUCUGCCGCAUAAUGCAAAUUCCGUUACUCUCCAUUUUGUUAGAUCAGCAGGCAUGUGAUUGUAGGUUGCAAGCUAAUCAGGACAAAAAUUUCUUGCCUUUAUCACAGAGUGCAGAUGUCGAUACUCUUUGUUUGUCCAGAUUGGUGGGCGUUAUGACUAUGCCCUUUCAUAACUUCCAUAGAGGAUCGAGGGACCAUAUAUUGCUAAGAUAGAUUACUAUGCUGAUGGGCACAUUUCAAUUAGGACUUGAGCAAUGCCACUGAGACUAUUAAAGAAAUAUCAUGAGAUAACUAUUAGACUAAAUUUGCAAUAAAGAUGAGAUCACUUGAAGUUAAGUGGCACCAUGGGCAUAAAUACGUUUGAGGAGCCGAGAUGAGGUUUCUGAGGUGGAUAUGUGGUAAAACAGGGCAUAUAUAUUAAAUAAACAAGGAGACGAAGCAUGCAAAAAAGCAACAUACGGGUGAGAAGUAAGAGAGGAUUUUUUGAGACUGUUGAACCAUGUAAGCACUAGGGAAAAGAUCACUCAUAUGAAGACAAAGCAUCAAACAUAGGAUGAAUGGCUUAGGAAAGAAAGAAGUGGGUGGGGGAAAAAUACUUGUCAUUUGGGAGGUCUCUUUGUAGGAUAGGAACCAAUGGUGGAGUAGGAGCAUAGAGCCAUUUCCUAAUACACAGGAUGAGGCUUAUUUUUUGUGCUAAUGUAAGUUUCGAUUUUCCAUAUCAUGCUUAUAGGCUACAAUGAUGUUUUUUCUAGGGGGUAGGUUUUGGAGUACGCUAUUGGUUUAUAGCUUGUUCAAUAAUUUUCAAAUCAAAACAAAACAAAACAUACUUUGAGGAUUAGUGGGUGAUAAAGAAUGGGAAAAAUGAAUGUCCAUAGAGUAAAAUUGUUUCUUUAAUAGACUGAUGAUAGGCAUGGAUGCAUUAUCAGAAAGAUUUCUUUGAUAUGGAGCUUUUGACUUGCAUGCAUUGUGGUUUUCAUAUAAAACAGCUUAGGAUAAAAAAAACAGCUCAAAUUUCUCUUGAGGUUGCAAAAAAAAAACGAGACAAUGGGACACAGUUUUUCCAUGUUGUUUGAAGACUUUCAUAGGUAUUCCAUCUUGAUUGAUUUUGGAGGUAUUUUUUACUCAAUAUUCCUGUAUCAAAUCCACAACUUGCUGAACUUUGGAACCUCAUUUGGUUUCUGCUAUUAUUUGGUGAGCUGAACAUAUUAUGAUCACCUUUUCCACCUCAGUUACAUUUAUUAUUUGUAAUAAUAUUCUGUAUAUUACAACUUUAUUUCUAUCAAGAUUACAUCCAUCGCUAGUUCAUGCCUUCUCAUAUCCAAUUUGACAAAGUCCCUGACAUGUAUUGCUUGCCAACACUGAGUUGUUGUAUGAAUAUUGAUUGUCAUGUUUUUUCAGAACCUCUAUAUGUUCAGUUCAAUUCAGUCUCCCACUGUGAUUUUUGAAAAAAUUUCUUUGGUGAAAUAUAACCUUGAUGUUACUUUGAAUGGCAUUAUCAAGAAGUUUCAGGGUAAGAAGUUGGCCUUGCUGCCAGCUUGCAUUGAAAGAAAUGUGGUGUACCCAAACCAACUCAUUUGAAGUGCAGUCGUUUUUUUAACUAAGUUCUAUCAUCAACUUCAAAAGAGAAAAGAAGAAGAAAAAAAAAAGAAGAAGAACUGCUAUGUUUCGGAGGGUGGAGGAGCAGCUGAUGGAGGAAACGAGAGAGGCAGGGGAAAGGAAAAAAACAAAAAAGCAGCUGGUGGAGGGCAAACAGGAAACACCAUUUACUAUUCCACCUCAUGGAUAAAGCCAUAUAAAUGCUUUAUUUCAGCACAUGUAAUCCCUGUGGGGCGUGGGCAAUGGUCGAUCGAUGGCAGGGGAAAAAACUUUGCGCGAAUUAAAACCCCUCUCUAUUUCCGUUGCUAGGGUUUUGCCAUCGUCGUCGCCUAAUUCAUACUCGUCCUGCAUUCAAUUUAGGGUUUGGUUUGGAACUUUGAGAUGGAGGCAUUGAAGCCUUUGAAAGAGAAGAAUUUCUGGUUCACUUCCUUCCUUGUUGUGUGGGUGGCCACUCUACAGGCACAUAUGAUGUGGAUGCAGAAGCAAGACACUUUCAAGCAAAGGUUUGGGGAUAUGAGCCAAAAAGGUGGAGAUGAUUGAACUACUGAGCAAUUUAUCAGGUUCCUCUGAAGCCGAAUCAUAUCCCCAUUUUCUUUAUAGAUUCUUCUCUUUUCACAUUCCAUUUGUUUUAUUGGGAUUAUAAUCUUUUGGAGAAUAUAACAUCAUGAAAAGAGAAUAUAAACACCAUCUGAGGAGUUCCUGGAUUGGGUUUCCAUUUGUUUUGAGAAAAGGAAACGGUCUGUUGUGCCGAUUGCUUGCUUACAAAUAUUACGAAUAAUAUAAUUGGGCUUAUAUUAUUAUGGGAUCAUCAUCGAACACGGAUGUUAAUUGGGGUUAAUUCUGCUUUUCAUAUCGCUUUUCUAUUUGCAGUUGGUUGGUAGGUUUAAAUUGAUUGAUUAUAGGGUGGAAAGGGAUACUUAAAAAUAUAACGAAUAAUAUAAUGACAGCUUCUGUAUGGUUUCAGUCCUAUGUGUGCCCUCAUUUGUAUGUUUGAACUGCUUAUUUGUCUUCAAAUUGUUAUGUUUGCUGAUUUAAAAAUAUAUGAUUGGUUUAUUUUAAGAAAGAUAUUUUGAUAGGUGACUUCUGGAAUUUAAAAGAUAGUUGGAAAAUAAGACAUGUUUAGGCAUUCACAGGUGCCAUGUGAUUCUCAAAAGGGUUUUAUAGAGGUCGGGUUUACUGUGUCGAGUUCUAGAAACAGAUGCUGGAGCCUAAACCUAGUAAAAACAUCCUUUGUUUAUUCAGGUUGGUUUUGGUAAGGAAAUAAUAACAUUCAAAAGGCAUUUUGUGGCUUGGUGGCGAGAAGCUGAGAAUUUAUUGAUGAGGGAUGACAUGUUAGAGAAUGUUUGAAAGUUCAAGGGAAACCAUUGUGGAAAUUAUAGGUUGUGUUUCCUUGCCACCUUGGAACAAGGGUGGCCCUUUGUAUUAGCAUUUGAGGCUUCUAACCAACUUUUAUGUUCUGAAUAUUAUGUCACCUACACAUAGACAAACACACAUAAGAGUACAUGACAUGCAUUGGAUGUGUGGUUAUGUUUAUGGCUCCCUGUUAAGAAGUCGCACUAGUUGAUUCAUAAGCCGUACAUGGACAUUUAGGACAACCUGUACAGUUUGAUUGCUUCAGUUUCAGUUCUAGUUCUGGCUAGCCCUUGAUCUGAAAUGUCAGUUAAAAUUGCCUGAAACCAAUGUACUGUCAUAUAGUUAGUAAAUUGCAACUAAAAUGUUUAGUGUCUUGCUAUUUUACUUUUAGAUAAUCUCAGCUAGUUUAAUCCAAAAGAUCCAGUUUCAUUUAGAAGAAGGUGAAAUGGGUCAUUACUUGUUUUAAUUCUUCGUUGUCAUUUGAAUUGUGAAAGAUCACUUGAUUCACAUAAAGCUUAAUGCUUCGAACACCUUAUAAUGGGUCAUAUACACAGACAGGGAACAUUUCUAUAUAUGCAGGCAUAAGUUGUGCAAUGAAGCUUCAUAUCUAUCUUAUAUCCUGUGAAAAUGCUUCUGUUUUUACUUUUGGUGAAUCUGCAGAGUUAUUAAUACCAAGUCAUUAUGACAUGGGAUGUGGAAUUUGUGAAACAAAUAAUUGUGGAAGUUGUGACAUAGGAUGGAAUGCCAUUGUGACGUUUAUUCUUUAGUACAUAAUCCAAUUUCAAGAUACAUUUCUGAAGGGUCCAGCAUGUCAAGGAUUUUCAGUUUAAGUUGAUAGGCAGGACGUCAAACUCUUCCAGGAGUGGGGGCAUACAGCAGACUUGUGUACAUGACUAUCAGGGCCCUAUGAAUAGAUAGAUUCACUAUAAAAUUUCCGCAGCAUACCCAUCUCUGACCUCUUGUGAUCAGAAAAUCAAGUAUGGUUGAGGUCAAGCAGAGACGCAAUUUCUAGCCUAUAUCUCAUUACCACUGAUUUGAUAUUGCAAUUUAAACCACAGCUAACUUUUGCCCCUUUUUUUUUCCCUUCCAAUUGACAUCCUACUCCCUGGUUAUUGGGAGAGGCUUGGUGGCUGCUUUCUCAUUGUUAUCAUAGUAUAAUAACAUUACAGAAAAACAUCUGUUCAGGUUUGUUCGGCAUUUUCUGUUUCAUUGCGAGGAUUCACCAACUCCUGUUCCCUCUUCUCAGUUAAUCAAGCAACCCCAGUUUUACGAAAGCUAAAAUCCUUUGCUAUCAAGAGAUGGGAAAAGAAAAGUCUAAGAAAAACCUUGUACAGUGGGUGGACAACCAGAGGGUUUUCUCUUGCUGGAUAACAUAAAUUCAUUGCUAACUUUUGGAGGCAAAGUUCUUUUUUCCUUUUUUUUGGCACCGUCCGCAGAUGAGUGGGGGUGGUUGUGGAGGGGUGUAGUGGGUGGAUUUUAUUUCAUUAAGUUUAGAAGGAUUUUACGUGCAUCUACUUGGGUUCUUAGGAUCAUUCUGACAGAUAAGGUGAGAAAAAAAAAAUUCCCACCAAGGUGGUAGCAUAGAUGGAACGGGGCGUUGGCUUCCACCAGGGUUGCCCAGGUUUGAAACCCGUGGGUGUUGACUAAAUUCGGGGACCGGAUGCCCCACGCCUGGACGCUGCCGGUGGGAGCGCUACUGGUCUGUUGGUAUCGAGGUGGCGCUGGGGUGACGUACUCACACAUGGGUGAUGAGCCCAGUGAGAGGAGCCCAUGGGUCGGGAAGGGUACGCGGAAACUUGCGGCCUACAUCGAACAUUCCCUGGUGGAAGGAGGGACCAGUGGGGGUUGCUACGCGGGUGAGGUUCGCCUCUCCCCCUCCCCUUCUAUUUUUCACCCAAAAAAAAAAAAAUUCAAGCCUUUGCUCUUGUUUUUGACUAUUGGCUUGAUAGUUUAAUAAUGUCAGCCUCCUGUCUUUUUUGAGAUGGCUCACAAGUAAGAUAAUCCUAGUGAUCUCCAUCUCAUCUGUUUAGUAAUUAUUAGAUGGCUUCUCAUUACAUGACUUUGGUUAUUUAGUUUGAUUGCCUCUUCACUUCAUGCCUCUGUGCCAGAUGCGACACCCAAAGGGUGAGCUUUUGGCGGUUAGCUUAACGUCAGUAGGCAGUCUUGGCUGAAAGGAGGCAAGCAAAUGAAGGGAGGCAUGGAGCAUGGACUUCAAGAAGCAAAGCUUUAUAAACUCGACAAGCCACUUAUAGAAUGCCGACUACUUCAUGAAGUUUAAUAAGAGAGGGAAGCGAAACUUAGUGAGCUUUAGUUGGCCGACCGCUACAUAUGCCGCUGGUGGAGAAAGCUCUUCGAGCUUUCCUUCAUUCAUUGCUAAGCCAAGGUCCCUGGUUUUCGAGUCAACCCACGCCUUUUUGAAGACUCUAAUAAAUGAGAUUUCGAGUAAGUAUUUACAUUAUCUUUUUCUACCCGAAGAAAUGAUUCAUCGAAAUAAUGAGUCACUUAUUCCAUUGAUAUGGCCGCAUCUAAGAUUGUCUCAGCAAUACGUCUCCCAGGUUGAUUUUUCAACAUCAUUUUGGCUUAAAAUUGGGCUCGCUGUGUUAUAAGAUCAGUUAAAAUAAUUUCUCUGAAGCAGACCUUAUGGCGCUGGUAUUUUCAUUUUGUAGGGCAUUUUUGAAUGAGUCUUUAAUAGUCUGGAUGAGCUUCAUCUGUUUUAAAAUGCUUAAAAAAAGAAAUCACCCUUUUGGAAUGAAUUGCAUGUUCUUGUUCAACAGGUGCAGAUAAAUAUUUAUAUACUUAAUGGAGUACUUUCCUGCUUCAUGAUAAUGGUUAGAAAUCUUUUACAUCUUGCUACCCUGCUCCAUCUGGGGAAAUAUAGUUUGACUCUUAUAGCGUGCACAUCCUUCUCUUAGCCCCUUGUUCUGGUUAAGAAUUUGCUUCCAUCAAUCCAGAAUUAGCAUCAACUAACCCAACCCUAUUUAAAAACAAUGUUUGCAUUCCUUUUUAUGCUCACGGGAAUUCAUAUCUCUCUUGCUUCCUAACAUUUUCUGAUAGGUUGGACAAGAUUGCAGCAACAGCAAGAAGUCCCCUGAGCCUGGAAGCUGAAAGCCAGAAUGGUUUAGUCUGCCACUGCAAGCCAAACCUUUCUAGCUUUAACUCUAUGAUUAGGAGGGUCCAGAAUGGUUUAGUCUGCCACUGCAAGCCAAAUCUUUCUAGCUGUAACUCUGUGAUUAGGAGGGUAGCUGAUGGACGCUGAGCGAUUCAGAUGGGAGCUACGAGAGCUGGGUCUUUGUAGGUGGGGGUGAUGAUUGGCCUUUCCGAAUAUGCUUUAUUUAUGGACACAAUGAUGCCUUUUCCUGGUGAGGUACGAAGUUGAGAAAGGAUAUGCUGUAACGUCCCUUGAUAAAGCAUUUAAGAGAGAUUGAGCUCAGGCCUCGUCCCUUCCAAAGAAAGCAGGACAAUGCGUAAAGAUGAUACCAAUUGUCUUUUCCUUUUAUUUGCAGGCGGAAAGUGUAAAGCGAUCUGUAAGGAUGUAGAAAGAUUUCAGUGGGAGUGCAGUCUGAUCGCAGGUGAAGCCUACAGUGGUUGUCUACAAUUUUGCACAAUCUUAUUAAAAAGGAUUGCUUCAUUGUUGAUACCUACAAAGGAUCUCGAGCAUUAGCCUGCUGCGUACAAACUUACUAUAAGCAGAUCCGGACUUUGCCGUUGCUCUAGAGUAAAAUAAGAGGCAAAUCUCCUGGUAACUUUUUAGAAUGCCUGAUCUGUGUAGCGCCCUGCAAAUGCUGUGGUUUCAUUCUGACCUGUACCACCAACCCUGUAAAAAAAAAUGAAGCUAUUACUUGCUAUCGUAAAAAAAUGCUGGUUUCAAAACUUUUAUACAUGAUCUUGCAAAUCUUUAUCCUUCAAAACAAAUUUAGAAGAAACGACGAUCACCAAAAAAAAAAGAGAUCACAAAAUUACUAAUGUGAGUUAAACACUCCCACAUGAUGCAAUCUCAAUUUCCCUGCCACUUGUAAUUGCAAACUAAAUUGCAAGCUCAUUGUCUUAGAAAAAUUUAAAGAACCAGAUAAUCAAUCCUCGUGGCUGCUUGCCCCACAUAAAUUUGAACUAUAAAUUACAUUCCAACUUACAGAAAAUUUAGGCUUGACUGGGUUAAACAAUCAAUUAACCCCAUCCCUCAUUACCACCACCAGCAGC